rnacentral:rRNA from 1 species
AACGAACGCUGGCGGCAUGCCUAACACAUGCAAGUCGAACGAGACCUUCGGGUCUAGUGGCGCACGGGUGCGUAACGCGUGGGAACCUGCCUUUAGGUUCGGAAUAACUCAGAGAAAUUUGAGCUAAUACCGGAUGAUGUCUUCGGACCAAAGAUUUAUCGCCUUUAGAUGGGCCCGCGUUGGAUUAGCUAGUUGGUGGGGUAAAGGCCUACCAAGGCGACGAUCCAUAGCUGGUCUGAGAGGAUGAUCAGCCACACUGGGACUGAGACACGGCCCAGACUCCUCCGGGAGGCAGCAGGGGGGAAUAUUGGACAAUGGGCGAAAGCCUGAUCCACCAAGGCCGGGGGAGUGAUGAAGGCCUUAGGUUUGUAAAGCUCUUUUACCCGAGAUGAUAAUGACAGUAUCGGGAAAAUAAGUCCCGGCUACCUCCGU